rnacentral:tRNA from 1 species
UGGAAUGUGGCUUAGUGGUAGAGCACUUGCCUCGCAUGCAUGAAGCCCUAGGUUCGAUUCCUCAGUACCAC